AUUGAACGCUGGCGGCAUGCCUUACACAUGCAAGUCGGACGGCAGCACGGGGCAACCUGGUGGCGAGUGGCGAACGGGUGAGUAAUGCAUCGGAACGUACCUUUCAGUGGGGGAUAACGUAGCGAAAGUUACGCUAAUACCGCAUAUUCUGUGAGCAGGAAAGCAGGGGAUCGCAAGACCUUGCGCUGAUUGAGCGGCCGAUGUCAGAUUAGCUAGUUGGUGAGGUAAAGGCUCACCAAGGCGACGAUCUGUAGCGGGUCUGAGAGGAUGAUCCGCCACACUGGAACUGAGACACGGUCCAGACUCCUACGGGAGGCAGCAGUGGGGAAUUUUGGACAAUGGGCGCAAGCCUGAUCCAGCAAUGCCGCGUGCAGGAAGAAGGCCUUCGGGUUGUAAACUGCUUUUGUACGGAGCGAAAAGGUCUUCCCUAAUACGGGAGGCUGAUGACGGUACCGUAAGAAUAAGCACCGGCUAACUACGUGCCAGCCGCCGCGGUAAAAC
rnacentral:rRNA from 1 species